UGAGAUUUAAAGAGCCGCAGUAUCCUGACUGUGCUAAGGUAGCAUAAUCAUUAGUCUUUUAAUUGGAGACUGGCAUGAAUGGUUAAACGAGAAAUCAACUUUUUUUGUUGUAAAGCUUGAAUUUAACUUUUUAGUGAAAAGGCUAAAAUUUUUCAAAAAGACGAGAAGACCCUAUAGAGUUUUAUAAUCAAGGGAAUAUUUCUUUCUUAGAUUUUUAUGAGAGGUAUUUACUGUAGUUAUUUUGUUGGGGCGACAUUUAGAUAUAAAAAACUCUUUAUUUUUAAAACUUUUAUGAAAGGUAAAUUGAUCCUUUAAAAAAGAUCAUAAGAAAAAAUUACCUUAGGGAUAACAGCGUAAUCUUUUUUGAGAGUUCUAAUCGACAAAAAGGUUUGCGACCUCGAUGUUGGACUAAAAUUAAGGCAGGGUGCAGCAGUUCUGCUAUAAGGUCUGUUCGACCUAUAAUUUUUUACACGAUCUGAGUUCAGACCGGCGUAAGCCAGGUUG
rnacentral:rRNA from 1 species